UACGGGGGGGGCAAGCGUUGUUCGGAAUUACUGGGCGUAAAGGGCUCGUAGGCGGCCCUCUCAGUCGGAUGUGAAAUCCCCAGGCUCAACUUGGGAACUGCAUCCGAUACUGGAUGGCUUGAAUUCGGGAGAGGGAUGCAGAAUUCCAGGUGUAGCGGUGAAAUGCGUAGAUAUCUGGAGGAAUACCGGUGGCGAAGGCGGCAUCCUGGACCGACAUGACGCUGAGCGAGAAAGCCGGGAGGGCAAACGGGAUUAAGAAACCCCGGUGAGACCAGUCCAAGUACCAACGUC
rnacentral:rRNA from 1 species